CCUUGGCAGGACAAUAUGGCAGGUGACAUUAAGAUUCCACUCUGCGUAUUUACAGAUCAGUAUGUGAGUAGAUGCAGAGAUCCACAGCCAGACAGCAUGCAGAGAGAGAGGCUAAAUGAGAGGUCUCCAUCCAAGCCCUCCUCUCAGAGCUGGGGGAAUCCUGAGGAAGAGCAAAGAAUGGAAAAGCCAGAGAGGAUAAAGGACACCAGGAAAACGAUGUCCUUUGAGUCAACUGAGCAAGGAGGUGACUGGAGAAGGAGACGCCAACUUAGGAGACCAGAAGAGAAACUAUAGACCUCAAAACAAUGUUUUCUUCCCUGCGUGAUGUAACCCUCCAAGAGCCAGGGUUUGGGGACUUUUUUUGCUGCAUGUCAGGAAAUGGAGCUGAGGCAGCCACCAGAAAAGCGCACAGUUCCAGCAGGGGGCAGCUAACGCCUGCCAGAGAAACCCAGCAUUCCUCCAGCCUCCCCUGCUCGCAUCCCUAAUUUUGCUUGCUGAUGAACUUUUGCUGAAAAUUCAUCACCUAGAAUUAAAAUUGAGUUGUUAGAGGAGCGUCAGUAGAAAGACAAAAACAAAACAAACAAACAAACUCCACCAAAUACAAAA
rnacentral:lncRNA from 1 species